GCCGGUGUAGCUCAGCUGGUAGAGCAGCUGACUUGUAAUCAGCAGGUCGGGGGUCCGAAUCCUCUCGCCGGCU
rnacentral:tRNA from 1 species